AUGAAACAGAGGAGCGGGUAGACUUCCGUAAAUCCGCCUCAUUGGAAUUGCGGCCUCGUCUCUCUCUCUCUCUCUCUCUCUCUCUCUCUCCGUAUGUACGUAUACCAAGGAAACAGAAUGCGUAUAUACUCUCCCCAGCCCCCAUUAUGGUCAACUCCUACAUAGAAGAAGACGACGAUCAGAGACCAAAUUAGGGUUUCUUUAUUGUUAGGGGCUCCAUCGCAAAUUGGAAGCUCAGAGGGAAUGGACCCUGCAGUGGUUGACAACAUAAUCGAACGGCUAAUUGAAGUCCGAUUGGCGAAGCCGGGUAAACUCGUCCAGCUCACCGAGUCGGAGAUCAAGCAGCUCUGCGUAGCUUCUCGUGACAUCUUUAUGCAACAGCCCAAUCUCCUCGAACUCGAAGCUCCCAUCAAAAUUUGCGGUGACAUUCAUGGCCAAUACAGUGAUCUAUUACGGCUAUUUGAGUAUGGGGGCUUUCCUCCUCUAGCCAAUUAUCUAUUCCUAGGGGACUAUGUAGAUCGAGGGAAGCAGAGUUUGGAGACAAUAUGCCUCUUGCUGGCCUAUAAGAUCAAGUAUCCUGAGAACUUUUUUCUUCUCAGAGGAAACCAUGAAUGUGCUUCUAUCAACCGCAUAUAUGGAUUUUUCGAUGAAUGCAAGCGCCGGUUUAAUGUGAAAAUAUGGAAGUCCUUCACUGAUUGUUUUAAUUUUCUUCCUGUUGCGGCUCUUGUUGAUGACAGAAUAUUGUGCAUGCAUGGUGGUCUGUCCCCUGAUCUUGCAAACUUGGAUCAAAUUAGAAACUUACCCCGUCCAACUGCUGUUCCGGACACUGGUUUACUAUGUGAUUUACUCUGGUCGGAUCCCUCUAGAGAUGUCAAGGGAUGGGGGAUGAAUGAUAGAGGAGUUUCAUACACAUUUGGCCCAGACAAGGUGUCAGAAUUUUUGGCGAAGCAUGAUUUGGAUCUUGUUUGUCGCGCUCAUCAGGUUGUGGAGGACGGUUAUGAAUUCUUUGCUGAAAGGCAGCUUGUAACCGUAUUCUCAGCCCCAAACUAUUGUGGUGAAUUCGACAAUGCCGGUGCUCUGAUGAGUGUUGAUGAGAACUUGAUGUGCUCCUUCCAAAUUCUUAAGCCUGCAGAGAAGAAGUCUAAGUUUAUGAUGUCCACAAAAAUGUGAUUUGUGCAAUUGCUCCUCCCAAUUGUUCAGACAAGGGAAGGUGAUGAUUAACUUUCUGUUCUUGACAUGCCCAACUCUGUUUUGUUUGGUUCCUGUAUUUGCACUGUCUGUGCUCAGGGCUUAAGAUGAUGGAAAUUUGACUGAGAGCCUCUUGACACUUGCUCCUUUAGACUGUGAUACACGUGCCAUAUUGGAGUUUAGUUUUCAAAGGAAUCUAUGUGUGACAACACACUUGCUGCUGGCUCUUGACUCCGCUUUCUUGGGAGAAAGAUCUAAAAUGAGUUGUCAAAGCAUUUGCUUCCCACACAGAAGGAUGAGUGCUUUGCUUCAUGCUCGAGUGCAGAUAGUCUGGUUAAAUUUAGUUGGAGAGGAGUCUGAAACUGUGGAACUCCAGGCUGUGGGAGGAGAACUCCAUCUGGUUUGGCAUGUGCCAGAAGUCUUGAUGAAUCCUCUCUCUCUCUCUCUCUCUCUCUCUCUCUCUCUCUCUCUGAAUACUUUAUACCUCUUCAUCUUUUCUAGUAGCACAAGAGAAAUCAUGUGUAUGGUAGAACUAUGUGAGGGGCUGAGGGCAACCCGAGGCUGUUGUUUUAGAUUAUGAGCACACAGUGUAACCCAUUGGGUUUGUGAGUGAGAUUCCAUGAUAACGUUGGGUUUGAUCUA